rnacentral:rRNA from 1 species
UCGGGAAUAUUGCGCAAUGGAGGAAACUCUGACGCAGUGACGCCGCGUGCAGGAAGAAGGUUUUCGGAUUGUAAACUGCUUUAGACAGGGAAGAAGAAGUGACAGUACCUGUAGAAUAAGCUCCGGCUAACUACGUGCCAGCAGCCGCGGUAAUACGUAGGGAGCAAGCGUUAUCCGGAUUUAUUGGGUGUAAAGGGUGCGUAGAUGGAUAAGCAAGUUAGUUGUGAAAUCCCUCGGCUUAACUGAGGAAUUGCAACUAAAACUGUUAAUCUUGAGUACUGGAGGGGAAAGUGGAAUUCCUAGUGUAGCGGUGAAAUGCGUAGAUAUUAGGAAGAACACCGGUGGCGAAGGCGACUUUCUGGACAGUAACUGACAUUGAGGCACGAAAGUGUGGGGAGCAAACA